ensembl:lncRNA
CUUUGAUUGAUAUCCAGACAUUUUUUGCGGAGACACAAUCCUGUUCCCCACUUGUAUUGGAGUGGACGGCGAUAUCUACUUCUGGGCCACAUGAAAUGACGGACCCCCGUCAACUCCCAGCUAAAACAGCUGCAAUACCAGGCUUGGCCUCUGAGCACGGGUGGAUUGCGGAAGUAUAUGCCUAUCCUGGGGGCCUGGUUAUCACAGGCUCACAGCACUAGUUGCGGAAGCCGCGACAUAUCCAGAAGAAUUGACAGGCACCUGCAUUUGAGGAGAACUAACAUGUUCUACAUUGUGGAAUUCCCGGAUGAGGUUACGGGUGAUGGAAAGCCUAUGGUGGACAUUAUACCAACACGUUGGUUCAAGAAUGAUGAUCAGGUGGAAUGCUACUGGCCUGUGGGUCUCAAUGUCUCGAUCAGCAAGGCAGUGAAAAGGAUGGUUCAGCCAGAUCCUUCAACAUGGGUGACAUGCCAAGUGCGUGUACUUGGCAGUGCAGUGACAUUUGCCGCGGCUCGCAGUAAGCUGAAAAAGGCAGAGGCUACGUCUGACGUCCAAACGGAACCUGAAAAUUCACAAAGGCAAUUGAGGCCAACGCAGAAACUCAGGGAGGUUCUCUCGAGUGAUGAAUCUGAAGUCUGUCCCGAGGAUGUAGAACCGCCGACACCUCCCCGUGAACUGUCAAAGAAAGUAAGCCAGCAGCGGAGCUGCAGUAGGAACUCGAGUUGGUCCAGCAGCCCACCUGAGUCUCCUGGACCAUCUAACGCAAGAACCCGGAGCCCGAGGAGCACCCCCAGUCCCAUUGGAUUCCCCAGUCUGGACAGACAGAGAUCAACUGCAGCCCUGAGUCUCUCCACCACAAUUGGAAGACAGACUUCACCUCUGAUUCACAGCCCCAGCGAGACCCCGAGACGGAGCCACUUCUCCUUAUCUCAGACACUAAGACCCAACAGCCAAAGCGAAACCCAGACCCCGAGACAUAGCCAACCCUCCUCAAGCCGGACGAGCAGCUCUGGGAUGGAACAACAAAUGUUCAUCCCGUUAUUCAAACUUCUCGAGGAGGUGAAGGACACCCAGAGGGUCCAUACCAGGCUGCUAAACAACCUCCUGAAACAAAAAGAGGGUGUUCAAGUGCUGACUGUGCCAGAGGGAGCAGUGUUCCCACUAAACACAGUGGAGGAUGUCGAGGCCAUGUGCGCCAAGCUGGGCGACGCAGAGUUCAAUUCUGCAAUUGUUGCCAUGGUUGCAGACAUUGGUGGAACUUCAUUGGAUGACAGUGUCAGAAGGAUGAUGGCAUUCAUCAUCACCAGUGCUCUGUCUCUCCAAUACAAUCUCUUUGGACAUCGUGGCAAGAAGAAGUUCCGAGACCUGCCUCUUUUUAAUGUUAUAUACGGGGCACUCAAAAGGAACACAUCCACUAAGGACAUUAACCAGAAAGAAGCAGAGGCGGCUCUGUCCAAGUGGUUUACGGGAGCCCGGGAUCGAGGUGGGAAUAGGGCUGCUAGAGCUCAGAAAGCACUUGGCAACACACCUGGCAAUUUACAGGACAAUGGGGCACAGCCCCAAUAGGCAGAAUGUCAUCUGCCAACAUCUUUGGAUCUCAUGCACACACACACACACACACACACACACACACACACACACACACACACACACACACACACACACACACACACACACACACACACACACACACACACACACACACACACACACACACACACACACACACACACACACACACACACACUUUGUUAUAUCUCUCACACGCACACACUUUAGCUGUCCAUGUGCAAAUCCGAAAUCCUGUUUUAUGUGACGCUGUUAUUUUUUCUUCAUCAGCGUUAAGGUUGAAUUGAUUUUGUUAUAGGGAUGGUAAGGACAGUUAAGUUGGUUCUUUUGUGUUGUGAGUUUAU